GACGAACGCUGGCGGCGUGCUUAACACAUGCAAGUCGAACGCUGAAGCCCAGCUUGCUGGGUGGAUGAGUGGCGAACGGGUGAGUAACACGUGAGUAACCUGCCCCCUUCUUUGGGAUAACGCCCGGAAACGGGUGCUAAUACUGGAUAUUCACUGAUCUUCGCAUGGGGGUUGGUGGAAAGGUUUUUUCUGGUGGGGGAUGGGCUCGCGGCCUAUCAGCUUGUUGGUGGGGUGAUGGCCUACCAAGGCUUUGACGGGUAGCCGGCCUGAGAGGGUGACCGGUCACAUUGGGACUGAGAUACGGCCCAGACUCCUACGGGAGGCAGCAGUGGGGAAUAUUGCACAAUGGGCGAAAGCCUGAUGCAGCGACGCCGCGUGAGGGAUGACGGCCUUCGGGUUGUAAACCUCUUUCGCUCAUGGUCAAGCCGCAACUGUGGGUUGUGGUGAGGGUAGUGGGUAAAGAAGCGCCGGCUAACUACGUGCCAGCAGCCGCGGUAAUACGUAGGGCGCGAGCGUUGUCCGGAAUUAUUGGGCGUAAAGGGCUUGUAGGCGGUUGGUCGCGUCUGCCGUGAAAUCCUCUGGCUUAACUGGGGGCGUGCGGUGGGUACGGGCUGACUUGAGUGCGGUAGGGGAGACUGGAACUCCUGGUGUAGCGGUGGAAUGCGCAGAUAUCAGGAAGAACACCGGUGGCGAAGGCGGGUCUCUGGGCCGUUACUGACGCUGAGGAGCGAAAGCGUGGGGAGCGAACAGG
rnacentral:rRNA from 1 species